GAUGAACGCUAGCUACAGGCUUAACACAUGCAAGUCGAGGGGCAGCACUAGGUAGCAAUACUGAGGUGGCGACCGGCGCACGGGUGCGUAACGCGUAUCCAACCUUCCCGAUACUCUUGGAUAGCCUUCCGAAAGGGAGAUUAAUACAAGAUGGUGUUUCACUUUCGCAUGUUAUUGAAACUAAAGAUUUAUCGGUAUCGGAUGGGGAUGCGUGACAUUAGAUAGUAGGCGGGGUAACGGCCCACCUAGUCUACGAUGUCUAGGGGUUCUGAGAGGAAGGUCCCCCACACUGGAACUGAGACACGGUCCAGACUCCUACGGGAGGCAGCAGUGAGGAAUAUUGGUCAAUGGGCGUAAGCCUGAACCAGCCAAGUAGCGUGAAGGAUGACUGCCCUACGGGUUGUAAACUUCUUUUGUAUGGGAAUAAAGUUCAGUACGUGUACUGUUUUGAUGUACCAUACGAAUAAGCAUCGGCUAAUUCCGUGCCAGCAGCCGCGGU
rnacentral:rRNA from 1 species